rnacentral:snoRNA from 1 species
UGUUUGCUGUGAUGACAUCUACAAGGACGGUAUCUGAGUAAGGUGGCUCUUAAAAAAAAGGUGCCCCCUCUGUGAUUACAUCCAAUCUGAUUGAGAUUCUGAGCAAACA